CUUCGGGUCUAGUGGCGCACGGGUGCGUAACGCGUGGGAAUCUGCCCUUGGGUUCGGAAUAACAGUGAGAAAUUGCUGCUAAUACCGGAUGAUGUCUUCGGACCAAAGAUUUAUCGCCCAGGGAUGAGCCCGCGUAGGAUUAGCUAGUUGGUGGGGUAAUGGCCUACCAAGGCGACGAUCUUUAGCUGGUCUGAGAGGAUGAUCAGCCACACUGGGACUGAGACACGGCCCAGACUCCUACGGGAGGCAGCAGUGGGGAAUAUUGGACAAUGGGCGAAAGCCUGAUCCAGCAAUGCCGCGUGAGUGAUGAAGGCCUUAGGGUUGUAAAGCUCUUUUACCAGAGAUGAUAAUGACAGUACCUGGAGAAUAAGCCCCGGCUAACUCCGUGCCAGCAGCCGCGGUAAU
rnacentral:rRNA from 1 species